rnacentral:rRNA from 1 species
UUUAAGAGUUUGAUCCUGGCUCAGGAUGAACGCUGGCGGUGUGCCUGAGAUAUGCAAGUCGAGCGGGUUCUAGACGCAAGUCUGGGAUCAGCGGCGGACGGCUGAGUAACACGUAGGAACUUCCCCCUAGGCAAGGAAUAGCUCACCGAAAGGUGGGGUAAUUCUUUAUAGUUCCCGCCUCUGGCGGGAUAAAGAGCUUAACUGCUCACCAAGGGAUGGUCCUGCGGCCUAUCAGGUAGUUGGUGGGGUAAUGGCCCACCAAGCCGAUGACGGGUAGCUGGCCUCAUGAGGGUGGUCAGCCAGAGGGGGACUGCGACACGGCCCCCACUC